rnacentral:rRNA from 1 species
UACGUAGGGUGCAAGCGUUGUCCGGAAUUAUUGGGCGUAAAGAGCUCGUAGGCGGUUUGUCGCGUCUGCUGUGAAAGUCCAGGGCUCAACCCUGGGAUGCCGGUCGAUACUGCCGGACUAGAGUUCGGAAGAGGCGAGUGGAAUUCCCGGUGUAGCGGUGAAAUGCGCAGAUAUCGGGAGGAACACCUAUGGCGAAGGCAGCUCGCUGGGACGUUACUGACGCUGAGACGCGAAAGCGUGGGGAGCAAACAGG